rnacentral:rRNA from 1 species
UAAUGGGCCGCCGGAAAAACUGCAAAGCUAGGGAGUGGGAGAGGUAGACGGUACUCGGUAGGAAGGGGUAAAAUCCUUUGAUCUAUUGAUGACCACCUGUGGCGAAGGCGGUCUACCAGAACACGUUCGACGGUGAGGGAUGAAAGCUGGGGGAGCAAACCGGAUUAGAUACCCGGGUAGUCCCAGCUGUAAACGAUGCAGACUCGGUGAUGCGCUGGCUUGUGGCCAGUGCAGUGCCGCAGGGAAGCCGUUAAGUUUGCCGCCUGGGAAGUACGUACGCAAGUAUGAAACUUAAAGGAAUUGGCGGGGGAGCACCACAAGGGGUGAAGCCUGCGGUUCAAUUGGAGUCAACGCCAGAAAUCUUACCCGAGGAGACAGCAGAAUGAAGGUCAAGCUGGAGACUUUACCAGACAAGCUGAGAAGUGGUGCAUGGCCGUCGCCAGCUCGUGCCGUGAGAUGUCCUGUUAAGUCAGGUAACGAGCGAGAUCCCUGCCUCUAGUUGCCACCAUUACUCUCAGGAGUAGUGGGGCGAAUUAGCGGGACCGCCACAGUUAAUGUGGAGGAAGGAAGGGGCC